GGGGAAUUUUGGACAAUGGGCGCAAGCCUGAUCCAGCAAUGCCGCGUGCAGGACGAAGGCCUUCGGGUUGUAAACUGCUUUUGUACGGAACGAAAAGCCUUCUUCUAAUACAAGAGGGUCAUGACGGUACCGUAAGAAUAAGCACCGGCUAACUACGUGCCAGCAGCCGCGGUAAUACGUAGGGUGCAAGCGUUAAUCGGAAUUACUGGGCGUAAAGCGUGCGCAGGCGGUUGUGUAAGACAGGUGUGAAAUCCCCGAGCUUAACUUGGGAAUUGCACUUGUGACUGCACGGCUAGAGUGCGGCAGAGGGGGAUGGAAUUCCGCGUGUAGCAGUGAAAUGCGUAGAUAUGCGGAGGAACACCGAUGGCGAAGGCAAUCCCCUGGGCCUGCACUGACGCUCAUGCACGAAAGCGUGGGGAGCAAAC
rnacentral:rRNA from 1 species